rnacentral:rRNA from 1 species
AACGAACGCUGGCGGCGUGCCUAACACAUGCAAGUCGUGCGAGAAAGUUUCCUUCGGGGAGCGAGUAAAGCGGCGCACGGGUGAGUAACACGUAGGUAACCUACCUUUCAGUCCGGAAUAACCAGCUGAAAAGCUGGCUAAUGCCGGGUAAGACCACGAUCUCUGCGGGGAUCGCGGCCAAAGGCGGCCUCUUCAUGAAAGCUGAUGCUGAGAGAUGGGCCUGCGACCAUUAGCUAGUUGGUGAGGUAACGGCUCACCAAGGCUUUGAUGGUUAGCUGGUCUGAGAGGAUGACCAGCCACACUGGGACUGAGACACGGCCCAGACUCCUACGGGAGGCAGCAGUGGGGAAUAUUGCGCAAUGGGGAAACCCUGACGCAGCGACGCCGCGUGGGU